UACGUAGGGUGCAAGCGUUAAUCGGAAUUACUGGGCGUAAAGCGUGCGCAGGCGGUUUUGUAAGUCUGUCGUGAAAUCCCCCGGGCUUAACCUGGGAACUGCGUUUGAAACUACAAGGCUAGAGUGUGGCAGAGGGGGGUGGAAUUCCACGUGUAGCAGUGAAAUGCGUAGAGAUGUGGAGGAACACCGAUGGCGAAGGCAGCCCCCUGGGUUAACGCUGACGCUCAGGCACGAAAGCGUGGGGAGCAAACAGG
rnacentral:rRNA from 1 species